UACGGAGGGGGCUAGCGUUGUUCGGAUUUACUGGGCGUAAAGCGCACGUAGGCGGCAUAUUAAGUUAGAGGUGAAAGGCCUGGGCUCAACCUAGGAACGGCCUUUAAUACUGGUAUGCUUGAGUUCGGAAGAGGGUAGUGGAAUUCCAAGUGUAGAGGUGAAAUUCGUAGAUAUUUGGAAGAACACCGGUGGCGAAGGCGGCUACCUGGUCCGAUACUGACGCUGAGGUGCGAAAGCGUGGGGAGCGAAC
rnacentral:rRNA from 1 species